CAUGCAAGUCAGACGGAAUGUAGUAGUACAUUCAGUGGCGAACGGGUGAGUAACGCGUGGAUAAUCUACCUACGAGAUGGGGAUAACUAUUAGAAAUAGUAGCUAAUACCGAAUAAAGUCAAUUGAGGUGUUAAUUGAUGAAAGGAAGCCUUUAAAGCUUCGCUUGUAGAUGAGUCUGCGUCUUAUUAGCUAGUUGGUGGGGUAAGAGCCUACCAAGGCUAUGAUAAGUAACCGGCCUGAGAGGGUGAUCGGUCACACUGGAACUGAGAUACGGUCCAGACUCCUACGGGAGGCAGCAGCUAAGAAUCUUCCGCAAUGGGCUAAAGCCUGACGGAGCGACACUGCGUGAACGAAGAAGGUCGAAAGAUUGUAAAGUUCUUUUAUAAGUGAGGAAUAAGCUUUGUAGGAAAUGACAAAGCGAUGACGUUAAUUUAUGAAUAAGCCCCGGCUAAUUACGUGCCAGCAGCCGCGGUAAUACGUAAGGGGCGAGCGUUGUUCGGGAUCAUUGGGCGUAAAGGGUGAGUAGGCGGAUAUGCAAGUCUAUGUGUAAAAUACCACAGCUCAACUGUGGAACUAUGCUGGAAACUGCAUGACUAGAGUCUGAUAGGGGAAGUUAGAAUUCCUGGUGUAAGGGUGGAAUCUGUUGAUAUCAGGAAGAAUACCAGAGGCGAAGGC
rnacentral:rRNA from 1 species